GCAGGGAAGGAGCCGCCUCCAUUUUUGUUUUAUUCUCCGCGCAUGCGUCUUAAAGUACUGAGGCGUUUCAGAGAGACACGUGAGAUGCUCAGAGUAAAGUCUGGGCCCAAGCCCCCAAAACUGGCAGCACUGGGAGAUUGCUGUUUAGCUGUUGUGAUCGAAAUUCUUCCAGACAGUCAUCGCACACCAACCUGGGACUUUUCUACGGAGGCGGUGUGCUUGUCGCACAUGGGGCUGAUCUCCAUGCCUCGUUC